rnacentral:rRNA from 1 species
GACGUAGGGUCCGAGCGUUGUCCGGAGUUACUGGGCGUAAAGGGCGCGUAGGCGGUUCGUACAGUCAGACGUGAAAUUCCUGGGCUCAACCUGGGGGCUGCGUUUGAUACGUGCGGACUUGAGUGCGGAAGAGGCUCGUGGAAUUCCCAGUGUAGAGGUGAAAUUCGUAGAUAUUGGGAAGAACACCGGUGGCGAAGGCGGCGAGCUGGUCCAUUACUGACGCUGAGGCGCGACAGCGUGGGGAGCAAACAGG